CCUAUCAGUUCGGCGAGCGCUUUGGCCACGUCCCUCACAGCGUUAAUGAGAACCACCUGAACAAAGACCAAGAUGAGGAGUACAAUGAAAGGAAGACAAGAGAGCAGUAAGGACACACGGGCCUGUAAUCAGAACCAGGCAUACAGAGACUGUGCCGGCUCCAGUGGCAUGCGGAGAUGGACCAGCUCCAGCCAGGUUCUGCUUUGUGAGGAUUGGGGCAUUCAAAGCAGCGCUGUGGACAACAACCUCCUUAUUAAUUUACAUAAUAUUCUACACAUGCUGUAUCACACAAUUGUCACCCAAAUGAGGAUGGGUUCCCUUUUGAGUCUAGUUCCUCUCAAGGUUUCUUCCUCUUACCAUCUAAGGGAGUUUUUCCUUGCCACAGUCACCUCAGGCUUGCUCACUUGGGAUAUGUCUGUUUAUAUGUUUGUCGUUUUCUUAUGUUGUUUCUCAUGUAAAGCUGCUUUGAGACAAUGCUCUUUGUUAAAAACGCUAUACAAAAAUAAAUUGAAUUGAAAUGAA